rnacentral:rRNA from 1 species
GCAUAAUCAUUUGCCUUUUAAUUGAAGGCUGGAAUGAAUGGAUAAACAAAAAUAUAUCUGUCUUAAAUUAAUUAUUAAAAAUUAAUUUUUAGGUGAUGAAGCCUAAAUAAAGCUAAAAGACAAAAAGACCCUAUUGAGCUUUAUUUAAAUUUAUAUAUAAAGUUAGAGUAUUUAUAUAAUAAAAAAAAUUUGGUUGGGGCGACAUAGGAAUAAAUAAAUCUUCCUAAAUUCAUAUAAAAAUAAAUAAAAUCCUUAAAUAAGAAAAUAAAUUAGUUACCAUAGGGAUAACAGGCUAAUUUUUAUUAAGAGUUCAUAUUGACAUAAAAGA